rnacentral:ncRNA from 4 species
AAAAAAAAAAAAAAAAAAAAA